GGUCUAACUAAUUUUAAAAAAAAAAUUGAAUGAAGAUCAUUGUUCCUUUUUAACAUAGUUUUUUUGUGUAUGUAUAAUAUAUCAUAUUCUUUUUGGUGGUGAAUCUUGGCUUAGGUUAUGGUAAGUUUAGACUGCAUUGGGGGUUGAUUAAAGUAUGUUACCAGUUCUCCCCUUGCUAUGCCCAGAUCUGGGUCUGGUGCAUACCUUGCCCGGAUUUGGGACCGAUUUGCCAGUGGAUUCUGUCAUGAUGCAUUUGGAUCACUGUCAGUUUGUUUUGGAUGAACCUGAACAAACCUGUAAAGAACCCACUAAUAAUUUUUUUAAAGAAUUUUAAAUUCAAAUAAUGUCCUGCAAAUGUGAAUUGUGUGCCUUUCCUGGGCCAUUCUCUAACUGACUGGGGGCAUCAUCUAGCAGAUUGGCGUCAUUAUCAAUUUUCCUUGUUUUAUAUUAGCUUAUAAUUGUUUAUCAAAUAUAUAUUAGCUCUGUAUAACUUGGUGCCAUGGUCAACCAGAUUAUAUUACAGUCGAUCGGUUUUAUUCUAGCUUGUGCCCUAAUGUGGAAUUUUAACAUUUUUAUAUUCUUCAUAGUAGGUUUAGUUGCUUGAGUUUUAAAUUAAAUUUUAAUUUUUAAUAUUUAUUACAAUUAUAUUUAAAUUUUAUUAUGUUUAAUUUAUACUAAUAGAAUCUCAGAUAUGUCUAAUAUUUAAAUAUUAUUUGAUUUAUACAUAAAUUAUGAAUUUAAUUUUUAUGGUGAUUUGUUAAUUAUAUAUUAAUACUAUAUGUGCUAUGUGGUAUUCUAAAUUAAUUUUUAAUUUUAUACUGUAAAUAUGUAUAUAUAUUUAUGAUUUUUAAAUGUUUUUCAAUUUUGUAUGGAUGAAACCAAGAUGAAGCCAACCUUAAUUGGUGAACCAGAACCACCAAGCAGAACCAGGAUUGGUACAAUUUAAAUAUGGUGAACUUGCCUUUAAGUGGUUAUGGGUACCUUAUUCCUGAGUAGUUCUUGAAGCCCAGGUUUUCCCCUUCUUAGUGUUGUCAAAAGCGUUUCCCCACGACCACUUUUGACUUAGUUAUUAUUUGUUGUAAAAUGUGCUACGUAUUGAUCCUUUAUGAAAUUUAACAUAAUUUAGUCUUACUAUUUAGUUCAUUAAUGUUCUCUUGAGGUUUGUUUUUAGCAUAAUUAUUGUUUAAUAAGUAUUCCACUCAACAUUGUGUCAUGAAUACUUAAGACUUUUGACAUAGUACUUAUGCCUAGAAUAUGUGGUGUCCUAGAUAAAUGUCUGUCAUGGUUAAGGGCCACCUUAUUCCAAUGCGAUUCUGGAAACCUGGAUUUGCCCCUUGUAAGUUGCUUCAUUGGCACAUCUAACAUAGGUUUGUUUUGGCCUUUUAGUUUAAUAAUGUGCUUUUGAAUUGUUUUCAAUCAUCUCAAUUAUUGUUUUACUUUGUAACCUUACUAUUAGGUGAAGUUAUGUGCUGCCUUGCACACCAUACUGCAACCCUAUAUUAAUCAAUUCUACUAUCAACAUUACACCACAUGACCUGAAAUUUUGACAUAGUUAUAAUGCCUAAAAAGUUUUCGUAUGUGCAUCCUUGGGCAAACUUGAACAUAUUUUUAAUCUUUCAUUUUUAGAUUAAAACUGGAUAUAUGCAGUUCUAUAUUAGUGACAUUAUAUAUUUGCUUUGUAAGUCAUGGUUGAGGCUAUCUGCUGUUAUGUACUGUAAGCUUGGGAUAGCAUAGGGUCAUAUUCAGAUGUACCCAAUAGUUUUUUUUUUUAAAGUAAUUAGUUGAGUGUAUCUAUUAAGGCACUUUUCCAGAAGGAUAAAGACAAACAGUCUAAUAUCUAAUUUUGCGAUAUGAGCAUAAUGGUCACUGUGAUAAGCAUACAAAAACAUACAUUAUCAACCUACAUAAAACAACUGUAACACAGCCAUCUACGGAGAGCCAAAGAGGACUGACUUAAAGCUAAGAAAAACUAUAACAAAACCAUGAACCAAAAAAACAAUCAAACGGGAAUUAGAAGGAUUCCCAUGGCUUCAUUCCAGAUGAGGCUUCCUUACUGACGUUUUUACUUCCAUUAUAGGAUUCGGUGCAGACUCAUUAAGUGAAGGGAAACACAUUGUGAAACUCCUUGUACUUCCGGGAUCAUGAAUAGUGUCAGCACAGAACUGAAUUCUAAAGUUGCAGGAUGAGGUGCCUUUUUGAAUGGGUUAGCUUACGCCCUUUUAGGACUUUCCCUAUAUUGUUGUAAAAGCCCUGCAGCAGCUGCAACUCCCUUCUCACACAUUUCACGUCCAUAAUCAGACUUCCUUUCUACUACAACUCCAUCUUUCACCACCUGAGCUGAUGUCUUUUCCAGCACCUUAGUAUCCAACACCUUUGUAAAAGAGCAGCUCCAUCCCAAAUUGAACUGGCAGAAAGAGCCUUAUCAGCUAGAGCCUCAAUUGCACAUUUGGCAGAGCCACCACAAGCAUUGAGAUGAAGCCAUUGUGUAUGGAGUUCUUAGACUGAGGAGCACAUCUCAUAUCCAUUGUCUCCCCUCAAAUUGCUUUGAUAAACCUUAGCUCAGUCUGGUUUGAACUUUGGACACAAGAAAAUGGAUUCCAACUGCUGGUUGGAAACAUUCCCCUUGUGAUAAAUGUACGAACAGGGAACUUCUUGUGCUGCAACAUGGAGAGAUAUAGCCACCUCAGCACUUAAAAUAACAGCUUGUCAAAUGAAUUAUGGUCAGCUUCAUUAAUUGAGAAUAAUCUGCAUGAGCCACAUGAACUAAAGGCUGCCUCUCAUAAGACACUAAAAAUGGCCUUUUAAAACACCACUAGUAGUUUUAAAACAAAUAUCCUUAUCAGGUUCAGCCCAAGAGGAAGGCUGACAUGGUGACAUCUGUACAUAGCUCUUAAGGGAUCUUGAUUGGUGCCACAAUUGGCAAGGAAUUCAGCUUCUGACCUUACAAUUCGCUGAUAAUGAGUAAAAAGGACCUUUUUGAAGCGUGAUCUGAGGGAACACACCUCAUCUAAGUAUCCACUUAGCUUUCGAUUUGUAGAACUACCUUUAUUCAAUGCAUUAGUUACUAUUUGUGAAUCCCCUUCUGCCACAAAAUUCUGCAUACCAUUAGAUGAGGAUAACACCAUACUAGCAGCCACAACCUCCUAUUCAACUCUACUGUUUGUUUUAUUCCCUAAAAAUAAGGAAGGAUACAAAGAUGCUCCAUGAAAAUUCAAAAUGAUGAAGCCCUUAGGAGGAGGCUUCCAAGGUUCAGAAUUGUUUCUAGAAAGGGAUAUUUUCUUGUUCCUCAUUUGCACAUGAGAACCAUGUUAAUUUUAGAAUUUUUAUCAUUUUUCAGUUUUGUUUUUUGCAUUUUCUUGAAAGUUCAAAAUCUUGGAGGCUAGUUUGAUGACUUUUUUUUUCUAUUUGCUUUUCGAUUUAGUGACGGUUUUUUAGAUUGCAACUUAAUUCAAAUAUUAAGUAGUGCCAAUAAUAUUUAUUGUUAUACAUACGAAUUUAAUAUAUAUAUUUAAAAAAUAUUAUUAACUUUGUAAUUUUGUUGUAUAUUAUAAUUAUUUAUCCUUAUAUUAUAUGUAGAUAUUAUUAUGUUAAUGCAUUUAAUAUUAAUUAUCGUAUUUGAAUGUUUAAAAUUAAUAUAUAAAUAGUAUACUAUAUUUAUUAAAGGAUAGGUAAAUUGUGGACAUGUGAUCCACUACCAUAAAUAUUAAACCAAAACUAACAAUAAACAAUGCAUCAACCCUUUAACGAGGUUGCUUCAAUUUUACAAGUUGCUUGAAGAUUUUUUCCUUUGUUGAUGAUCUAAGCUUCAUUUGGUGCUUGAGAUUUGCAGUCGAGUCCUUCCUCUUACAUCUGUCCACUCAAGAUAUUUAAUAGGCACAAUAUUUUGAUUAAACUCCUCUUUUGAGUGGGCUACUAUACCUUUUGGAACAUCAUUCCGUGAAGACUCCAUCGAUGUGUUCACAAAAGAAUCAGCAAUCGUAGUGUUUUCUUUUAUUUUGGAGAGAUUGAUGAGACCUUUGAAGAAUCUCCAGCAAUAUAGGCCACAAGAUUUACCCCAAUAAUUGGAUCAUGUGGGUUUGCUGAAGAGGGAGUGAUUGGCUUCAGCAAGCCUUCUGGAAGAACCUAAGAGCAGAGCAACUCUGUUGGAGUUCUUGGGGGAAUAACACAAUGGUAAGACUUUGCCCCAAUCCCCUAGCUAGCCUUAUAAUUUGGAGCUUGUACACCAUGCACAUUUGGCUGUUUCUUUUGGCAUUGGGAAGUAAGAUGUUCCGUUGAGAAACAUUUCCUGCAUCUAAAAACAAUUUUUUAAUAUCUAUUGGUUGUCUCCCAUAUUUGUUUCUCACUAUCAGGGAUAUCUGUGCAGGAAGACCUUUAGAUUGAUCCAUUUCAACACAAGCAUGCACAAGUGAAACUCAAUUUAUAAUUUCUUUUGAAGUGUAGUGGUACUUACCCAAGCCAUUAUCAAUGGCUCACAAACUAUCUAAUUCCCAAAGCUAUAAUGUAAGAUAUGGUAACCUUGCCCAUAAGAAUGUUUAAGAAAAAACCUUCCUUUAGGGGUUGAAGUCUAUGAACCAAGGUUUUAAGCACAAGAAAUGUCCAUUGAAUAUCCAUGGACCACUUUUUAGCCCCACAUCCUUGUCUUUCACAGAGUCAAAUUUGAGAGUGAAGAAGCCCUAGGCGUAGAGAUAAUUACAAAUUUCUUCGUCCAUGUAUUCUUUCCAUUUUUUGAGAUCCAUGAGUGUAGGUUGCACAUCUUCGGCCAUGUUUUUGUAUAUCUACAUAUGAGGACAUGAUUGAGUAAAUAGUUCCCCCGAUUGUGAAUAAUCUUGCCCAAGUGAACUUGAGGUACAUGAUUAGAGUGUCAAACUGGAAGGGAGGGCUGCCUAUAAAGCUAUUUGUUGGAGGUGUGGUAGUAGUAGAGAGAGAGAGUCCAAAGUAGGGGGCCUAGGCGAUGAACAAUACAAACCGAAGUGGCCAGAAGCUUGGAUCCCAUCAGCCAUUCAGCCAUAGAGGCUCUUGAGCACUAGUGCAUUAUGGGUUAGGGUUUGUUAGCGCACAGAGGACAUUUCGGUGCAAAGUAUAAAGCAAUUUUAUACUAUAUUUAAUGUUAAUAUUUACAUAAAUAUUAAAUCACAAUGCAACGUAUUAUAUUAAUAUAAUUUUCAUUAUUAAAUAAUUUAAUUAAUAAAUUGUGUAUUUAAACAUUAUAUUAAUAAUUUCAAAUUUAUUUUUAAGAUUUUAUUUGUAUGAUUAAAAUUUUAAAUUAAAACAGUAAAAUUAUUAAAUUUAAAAUGCAAAAUUGAAGUCAAUAGAAAUGUAGAAACUAGAAUACAUCAAUUUUUGUGAAAAAUUUAAAUAUAUAAUCUAAUAAUAUAUUACUUAUUACUGCAAAAUUUAUUUGUAAUUUUUAUGAAUCAUAAAACUAGAAUUUUAGAUCUUUAAUAAACUUUUGAGUUUUGUUUGUUUUUUUAAUAUUUUAUUGUUCAAACUUUUUAUGUGUGUUGCACGCAGAUUUUGUUAUGAUGGAAGUUAGUAUUGUUCUGUUGGCAUACCUUCAUUCAAAAUUGGCUUGAGUUCAUGCUAUGCAGGCAUUUAGAACUACUAGGUGGGGGGACAUAUGUUUGGAUAUGUAGUGGGUGUGAUAAGUGGUAUUCAUGUUCCAACUGCCAGGUGAAAGGCCAUUUUGUGUAAUUCUUGAAUUGGGAAUCAAAGCUUGUCCAAGGCAAAACGAUGUACCUAUACUACUUUGUAAAAUAGUAGAACAUAUUAAGGAGCAAGAGAAAGCAGAUGCAAGUGUUGCAAAUAGAAUAGGGCAUCCAUUUAGGAGAGAGAGGGUUCCUGGAGGCCUACUAUUUGUCCAUCUCAUAAACGGUGUGUCAUCCUUGAUAUUGUAGUAGAAAGCCAUCCAUUUUUGGGUACGAAUGAAGAUGAGGCCAGUAAUUUGAAGAGGAAAAUGGACCACUAGAGAGGGCAUUUAAUAUUGAUGCUAGAAAUAUUGUUGACCAAAUCAUUGUAAGAUGCCAAUAUGCAAAUGGUUUGUCCUUCGAUGUUGUGAGGGCAUUUAAUAAUGAUGCUAGAAAUAUUGUUGACCAAAUCAUUGUAAGAUGCCAAUAUGCAAAUGGUUUGUCCUUCGAUGUUGUUUGAUCACCCUAUUGCGAAGAUGUGGUAAGAAAAAUAAAUGAAGCUCCUAUUAGAAUAUUAAAUUAUUAAAAAAUUAGGCCGGUGUUCUCUUUCCAUUUUUUUCUAGAUUCACUUUUUAGUUUUUAGUGAGUCAUGUAAUGUGUAUCCGUCUGGGUGGUUUCUUCUCCAAUCUGUAUAUAGGGAGAUGGAACUCUUUGUAAAUGUAUCCUAUCAAGUAAUAGAAGUAAAAAAUAUUGUAUUAAUUUUUGCAAUAUGGUAUCAGAGUAGGGGGUUACGUGAAUUUACUAGUUGCUUGAUAAAAUUCAUGGCCUAUUUUUAGGAAAUUGCAAGGUUCAAGGUUUUGAUGUUGACAUUUUCUUUCUGCUGAAAUCUCACAGUUUUUAUUCAAAAAUUGUGGAUUUAUUUUUUUAUAAUUGCAAGUUCAUUGAUGGCAGGAAUUGCGUCACUUUCUGGAAAAAAUUGUGGAGAUUUUCAUCUGAAAAUUGUGUGAUGUUUUUGGUCAAAAUUGUGUCCAUUUUCAGAUGAAUUCGAGCCUUGUAUUCAUGAUUUUUUAAAGGCGCAAUUGGGUUUUCCCUUGUGUUUAGGAUUUUUUAUGCAAUGUCAAAAUCGCACCAACCUUUUUUAAAUAUUUCAUAGCUAGGGCAGAUCCAAUGACAAUGGGAUUUCGUAAGUGUUUUGAUUUGUGUGUUUGGAGUUGUCUGUGUUUUCUUACCAGCUGUUUUUCAACAAUUUUUUUUACAAUAUUGUUGACUUUCUAAGCUGCUAGGGCAGGAAAUUUUUCUAGAUUUUUGUAGGUUUUUGGACCUUUUUUUCUAUUGUGGCUAAGGUUUACUCCUAAUUGUUUUUAUGAUUUUUCUUAAGAAAUUUGUAAGUGUUGAAAUCAUGUGCUAGGGUUUUGAAGGCAUGAAGAAUACAGAUUUGUUUGUUGGUGUGUGAAGGUUCUGUGGCAUACAGUGAUUAAAGGUUUUAUUUUUCCAAAAUUUACAUGUGUUAGGGUUUGAAAAGAAAAUGAAUAUGUUUUUGUUUGAGUGGUCCACAAUAGGAUUGUGAAAAAAGGAGGCCAAGAUUUUGUUCUUGGGUCUUGACAAUGCAAGGAAGAUCGCUUUGUUGCAUAUGCUAAAAGUGUAGAAAUAGCCUACACAACAUUACAAGUUUGCUCACCUUAACUUUGCCUUUAAAUAUUAUGAAGAAAAAUGUGCUGAGGUACUUUUUGAAGUCAAUGACGAUACACUUUGUUGCCAGUUGAAGAUCCUCAAGAUGCAUUUCAGGAGAGUGUAGAAGGAUUACUAUGAAUGAUGAAUUGCAUGUAUUUUAAGAAGCCCACACUUUGAAGAUAGGAAUGAAUCCAAUAUAGAUAAGCUCAAAAUGGAUGGUUGGUUAGUUAGCUUGGGAGUCAUACACUUACGAGGGUUAUGAGACAAUUUUAUGGAACUUAGUGAAGUAGCUCAAUAUGGAUUGUUGUUCAACAGUUUGAGAGAUCUGUUAUUUGGGAGUUUGGGAAGGUAGUGAUCUGGGAACUCACAAAUUCAGUUUGGGAGCUACACUUUUACAAAGGUUCGAGGUGUUAAAUUUUAUGAUCAGAUUAGGUAACACAAUAAUUCACACAAAUGCACAGAUAUUACCCUGGGAAAACCUUCCUCUUGAAGGUGAAAAACCCAGCAAUGAAAUAUGACUUUAUUAUCUUAAUUAUGUCAAGGUACUUUACAAAGAAUUUGCUUCACUCUUGAAGCUAUAUAUAUAUGACAACAAUUCAUAUAAAUAAUAUGUGAUCUACAAUAAGGAAUCAGAAUUCUUUAGUUGAUGCUUAACCUGUUGUAGAUAGACUUCUAUCUGCUGUACAAUCUCAACGAACUGCUGAAGAAAACGAAUAUCUGCAGAAUGUCUACGGACUGUUAUGUGAUUGUGUUCUUCGAUAUGCUUUUGAGAGGGAUACAAAGCUUCAUAUAUAUACCUGUUUGGAUGUGACUUUAACCAACGCAACUCCUCCAAGGGUUGUCUUCCAAUCAACACGUUAUAAUAGUGCAUCGGUUAUAUUGUUUAAGAAUUGGUUACAUUAAUCACGUUUCUUAAGGUUGGCAGAAUUUGAAUAAAUCGGCACAUAAGGAAUGGAUACAUUUUGAUAUAUAUAUUAAUCGUGUUUUGCUUUCUCAAUUUCAACGAUACCAUUUAAUUAGUCUAAGGACGAUAGGCCAAUUAGGCAAAUUAGAUAUAUUGUCGGCACUGAAGGAUAUUGACCAAAGCUAUUCAACAACAUGAGGCAACUUGAUGGAGUUCUACUUGGUGUAUGCUUUGUUUUCAAAGAAAAGCUUACGAAGUUUUGUUUUGAGUGAAGUAAGCUUGGGGGUAUUAGAAUAAUAUUAAAUUAUUGAAAGAUAAGGCUUAUAGUUGUAAUAAAGCAACCUCAGUGGCAAGUGUUUAUAUUGUGUUCUAAUAAUUUUUGCAAUAGCUCCAAAUGGGUACAUGGGCCUAGGUUAUGAGAAAGUGCAAAGCACUUUUUGUCAAAGCCAAAGGAGUUCAAGCAUAUAGAAACUUCAUUAGCUCCCAUUUAAGUCCUCAUGGAAAGAAACUAGUGUUUUUAUUAUUUUCGAUGGAUGGAAGGAUGCAAAAACUAGGUCAACAAGGAAUGUGAUUACAAUGUGCCUUAAAGGGGCAAUGUUUCCGAAAAUUGUGGAUUGUGAGGGAUAGGUGAAGGAUGCACAAUUUAUUGCUGACAUCAUUAUGCAGUGCAUUAAUGAAGUGGGUCUUGAAAAUGUUGUCCAAGUUAUGGUAGACAAUGCAAAGAAUUGUAUAGUGGUUGGUAUGUUAGUUGAGACACUGUUUCCACAUAUAUUUUGGACACCUUGUGCUGUGCAGUCACUUAACCUCAUGCUAUAGAAGUUGGGAAUAAAAAUAAAUUUGAUGAAACAAGUCUAUGUUGAGGUUCAAGAGAUCCUAAUGUUCAUCACAAACCACCACAUGUUGCAGGUCUUUUGUAGAUCAUUCUUGUGACUAGAGCUAGUGAAGGUAAUGUAAACAAUGCAAUUUUUUUAUUUUAUGUUACUUUAGUAAUUAAUUAAAAAAAACAAACACACUAAUUAUUUUUAAUUUUUAAUUUUCAAAUAGGUUGUUGAGUCGUGAAUUGCAUCCAACACAAUUGUCUUGAGAUAACUUGUGAAGGUGUGAGAGGUACUUAUUGGUAUGGUCAUUAGCUGGUCAUGGUUCACAUGGAGGCAAUCCAACAUGAGAGGGCAGCAAAUGUAAAUCAAAUGAUUCUAGAGGACACUUGGUGGGUUCACGUGGGAUAUCUUCUUAGUUUCACCAAGCCCAUCAUGAGUAUGAUCCAUUUCACUGAGAUGGAUAGGCCAUGCUUGAGAGGGUUUAUGAUAGCAUCAACUCAAUGAUUGAGAAGAUGAACUCCGUUAUAAAAGCUAAAGAGCAAGAUUUUGAAGAAACCUUCUUCAAAGAGGUGCUGUCAAUUUGUGUUCAGCAGUGGAGGAACAAAAUGACCACCCAACUUCAUCUUUUUGCCAUUGUAUUGACUCCCAAAUAUUAUAAUGAAGAGAUCCUUACUAUGCCAACAAGGGUUCCACCAUACCGCGAUGUAUAAGUCAACGAAGGGUUUACUAACCCUUUCCUUGAUUGUUAUAUGUAAGAUGCAAUGAACUUGCUGAUUUCAUAACCUCCACUAGUCAAAGUGUUUCUGCUCUCCGUGACAAGUAUAAGAAGGAUGCUCACUCUUGGUGGUAGCUCAAUGGACACAGAUUGCCACACCUCCAAGUUUUUGCAAUCGAUGAUUUAUCACAAGUUGCUAGCUCUUAUUCAGUUGAACAGAAUUGGAGUAUAUACUCCAUUCACUAAGUAAAGUGCAACUGGUUGGCAUCGAGCAAAACAAAGGACCUAGUUUAUGUGCAUUCCAACUUACAUCUUCUUACUCACAAAGAUGAGUACAAGGAAGGGGCAACAAAGUUGUGUGAUGUAGAACCAGAGAACUGUAUUGGAUCUUUCCUUUGUUGCACAAUCUUCAGUUUGAGUAGCCAACAUACUUUUAGUCCAAGUGGCAGUGGGGUUCCAUCAUCUAAUGUUAAUGUUGAUAAUGAAUUUGGUCUUGAUGAUGACUCAUAUGAUCCUGAUUAGUGAACUUAUUGCUGAUUGUAUUAUUUAAAUGUUAAACAGUUAUCAUCUAUUAUGACACUCAAGUUUGAUCC